GAUGAAGAACGCAGCGAAAUGCGAUACGUAGUGUGAAUUGCAGAAUUCAGUGAAUCAUCGAAUCUUUGAACGCACAUUGCGCCCUUUGGUAUUCCAAAGGGCAUGCCUGUUCGAGCGUCAUUUGUACCCUCAAGCUUUGCUUGGUGUUGGGCGUCUUGUCUCCAGUCCGCUGGAGACUCGCCUUAAAGUCAUUGGCAGCCGGCCUACUGGUUUCGGAGCGCAGCACAAGUCGCACUCUUUUCCAGCCAAGGUCAGUGUCCAACAAGCCUUUUUUCAACUUUUGACCUCGGAGCAGGUAGGGAUACCCGCUGAACUUAAGCAUAUCAAUAAGCGGAGGA
rnacentral:misc_RNA from 1 species